rnacentral:rRNA from 1 species
AUUGAACGCUGGCGGCAUGCUUUACACAUGCAAGUCGAACGGCAGCACGGGGGCAACCCUGGUGGCGAGUGGCGAACGGGUGAGUAAUGCAUCGGAACAUACCCAGUCGUGGGGGAUAACGUAGCGAAAGUUGCGCUAAUACCGCAUACGUCCUGAGGGAGAAAGCGGGGGAUCGCAAGACCUCGCGCGAUUGGAGUGGCCGAUGUCAGAUUAGCUAGUUGGUGGGGUAAAGGCCCACCAAGGCGACGAUCUGUAGCGGGUCUGAGAGGAUGAUCCGCACACUGGGACUGAGACACGGCCCAGACUCCUACGGGAGGCAGCAGUGGGGGAAUUUUUGGACAAUGGGGGCGAACCCUGAUCCAGCCAUGCCGCGUGCGGGAAGAAGGCCUCGGUU